GAUGAACGCUGGCGGCGUGCCUAAUACAUGCAAGUCGAACGAAGAUCUAGCUUGCUAGAUCUUAGUGGCGAACGGGUGAGUAAUACAUAAAUAAUCUGCCCAUAUGACUGGGAUAACUAUUGGAAACGAUAGCUAAUACCGGAUAGGUUGAUCGGAGGCAUCUCUGAUGAAUUAAAGUAGGAUUUCUACACGAAUGGAUGAGUUUAUGGCGCAUUAGUUAGUUGGUGGGGUAACGGCCUACCAAGACGAUGAUGCGUAGCCGACCUGAGAGGGUGACCGGCCACACUGGGACUGAGACACGGCCCAGACUCCUACGGGAGGCAGCAGUAGGGAAUUUUCGGCAAUGGGCGCAAGCCUGACCGAGCAACGCCGCGUGAGUGAUUAAGGCCUUCGGGUUGUAAAGCUCUGUUGUAAGGGAAGAACAUUCAGGAUAGGAAAUGAUCUUGAACUGACGGUACCUUACCAGAAAGCCACGGCCAACUACGUGCCAGCAGCCGCGGUAA
rnacentral:rRNA from 1 species